rnacentral:tRNA from 1 species
AAGGCUUUAAGUUAAAUAAACUCAUAGCCUUCAAAGCUGUAAAUAAAGGGCACACCUUUAAGCUUUA